rnacentral:miRNA from 1 species
GAAAAUAUGGGUGCACUUCUAU